rnacentral:tmRNA from 1 species
GACGUGUGCCAGCUUUCCAGCCCUAGCUCUCCUCUUUGGUAAUUUGUUGAGCAGUUGCUUGGCUCCUAAUUCAUUCAUGGCUUCUGGAGGUAAAAACAACCCUGGAUUCCAACCUGAUUCUGACAGUGAUGAGCACGUCUAUGCAGAGCCAGAGGAGGUUUAUGACAAUCCUUUUGAUGCAAUGCGGCGCCAGGGAGUAUAUUCUCUCCUGAGACCCCCCUAUAAUAGACAAGAGGCUGUAGAUAGCGAUGAUGAUGCCACCUAUGCCACCCCCUCUUUUGACAGAAUAAUUACUCGCAGACCCAGCACUGGCGAAGUCGAGAGGAUGCCUGGCACGCCCAGUCGGCGUCCCCCCGAACAGUCAGAUAGUGAGUCUGAUUAUGAGGAUAUAGGGGCAUAUGGGCAACCUGCCAGGCAAUCGAUCUAUCAAACACCCAGGAGGUCCACCAUCAGGUGUAAAGUCUCUUCUGUGGGUGAGAACUAUGAUAUCCCUAGGGAUACUCAGGCCAAUACUGUCACUGUGCAAACAACUCAUGGGGGCGCGCGUCCUCGGUCCCGGGCACCCAGGGUUUUGGUUAGACACCCAGAGGCCGGAGGCAACAAACCUGACUUCCUGCCAGUGGACAAACCACUUCCAUCUGUACCUCAACAUGUACCUCAAGGGUAUGAGGAAAUGGCAGGUUCUCCACCCCCAGAACGGGAUGUCAGGUCUCCCAGGCCACAAAGACGGCCAAACCCCCCAGUGAUAAUCUUCUCUGAUUCUGAGACGGAAAGUGACGCGGAAGCUGUUGGGGAGCGUCAGAGGGGAAGUAAGGUUGAUGUUCCUACAUCCUGGAAACGCCUGAUGAUGACUAAGGAGACUGGAACAAAGAGUAAAACCGCUUUUGACAAACUAAAGGGAAGUUUUGAGAAGUUCAUGAGCGGAAAUACAAAAAAUGAGGGCACGGAAGAGCAUCGGUCAGUUGUUAGGAGGAGAGGAGACGGGACUGGGUUCAGAUAUUCAUAUAUGUCCAAAAUGAGCACAGAUUUCCCGGCAGGCCCCACCAGAUGUGCCACUGUGUUAUACUUUGAUGGUGGGAUUGCGGUGGGUAAGACCACCGCCCUGGAGGCUGCUGCUGAGUUUCUGCACAACAUACUUGUGAUCUCAGAACCUAUUCCUUACUGGACUUCCACUUUUGACAAAAAUGUCUGUCAGCAGAUCUACGAUGUGGUCAAGACCAAAGAAAAGGGGAAGAAGCACUCCAAAAAAGUGUUGCAAUGCCAAAUGGCCUUUGCCCAGCCUUUUCAUGCCACCCAGCACCUACUCCGCCGGACGUGUCUAGGUACCAAGGUCUCCGAUGGAACAUGUAACAAUUAUGUGUUGAUUGACAGGCAUAUGGUGUCUCCCACAGUCAUCUUUCCUUGCCUGUUUUUCAGAUUGGGGGUGUUGAGGUUCUGUGAUUUGUUAUCACUAUUGUCUGUGUUUUCAGCACAAAAAUUUGAUAAUGUUGUCUUGUUUAAACUCCAUCCCAAAGUAGCUGCGACCCGAGUCAAGGAGAGGGGGAGAAACCCAGAAGGUGUGAUCAACCACACGUACCUGCAACUCCUCAAUGAAGUAUUGGAUGCCAUUUUUUGUGCCUGGGAACUGUUGGCGAUCGUGCCUCCUGAAGUUAUUGUGGAUGCUAUGCUUUCCCAGACUUCAGUUAAGACUGUGUUUCAGAAGGCUGGCUUUGUUGCACCCAGGGCAAGGCUUAUGGAACAGAUGUUUAGAGAUAGUAUUUUUAAUGACUUGAGAGAAAAUGUGCGUCAGUUGCCACUACAUGGAUCAUCCAUCCCAACCUUGCUACAUAAAUUUUGUUAUGAACUAUCCAAACCACAUAUGGUUAAACUAGAUGCUGGACAGUUUCCUAACGAUGUUCCCGGUUUGUGGACUCACAUAUAUACCCAAAUACUCACAGACCCGGCUAUUAAAACAUGCGACCUGAAAUGGAAUAUCCUAGAAAAGGGCAUAUCUGGUGGAGACCCUCAGUAGUAAUAAAUAGCCAAGCACAAUGGUGACAUGUUUGAAAAAUUUGUUUCUUUACUGUAUCUUUGUGUCCAUGAUGGUGUGGUUGGUGCAUGGGGUAGGCGAUCGUGAUAGUAAGGGCGAGGGGGCCACAAUAAAGGUUAAAAGAAAUGAUAAUGGCGUCAUUUCAGUCUAUAUUGAUGGAAAAGAUUAUGCAUACAUUUUUAACGUGACCAAGGCUUUGCAAGAUCUUGGGAGGGAUCCUAUAAGACAAAUUUGGCGCCAUUCUGAUGUCUUUAAGCCACUGACAAGGACUUUGGCAGAAAGGGAUUCCAUAUUUGUAACCAAUGAUACAAUACACAUAGAUUCAGACAGUCUGUUUGUCUGCCCGGUUGGUAGGGGCUAUCCCACCAUUACCAGCCAGGUUCAGUGGAAAGACCUUCCCCCUGGCUAUCUUGGCAAAUUUGGGUGGCAAAAGAAUAUGGCCCUGAAGGAAUUUAAUGAAAAUGAAAGAUUUACCAUGUUUUCAGAGAAUGAGCGGGAGAAGACACUGGUGGUGGGGAAAGAUAAAUAUGUGGAAUAUGGAAGCCUGACCUGGAUGAUGCCUGAAUGGGGCGGGACCUAUGGAGUUGUGACUAAUAGUUUUGCCUUUGUCUCUGUCAACAUAACUGUGGAGUCCCAAGUUUGUUCUGCGUCCAUAAUUUUUUCCCAUAAUAAAGGUGGACCAAGUUUCAAAGGAUCAAUUGUGCCUGAAAAAAUUCUCAUUGGUAAAACUGAUUUAUAUAGCAUGUAUUUUAUAGCCUUCAACACCAAGCCUGUCUGUCAAACGGAUAUCAUAACUGGGAUUGAACUCCAGAACCUGUUUGUUCAAAUGGUUACAGAGUUACCAGAGAAUAUAAUGGCGGAUAUUGCCAAUGAUGUGGCCUAUUUCUCUGCUGUUAAUUGCCAUCCCUUGAAGAUUCCUGUUCCCAGGCUUAUAAGGACAUUUACAAAACUGACAAUUUCUCAUUUUCUGACAAUAUCAGGCAUUGUGGCCACCAAAACAGAUACAGUAGACGUUGGUUGCCUGAUUCAGCAGCUAGCGGACCUCAGGUACUUGAGAGAAUCCCUCAGUGCUUGCAGUAUGGCCUACUCUCCUCACAUGUUUACAUCUAAUUUCCUGAAGUUUCUGUCAGGGGUGCAGAUAGAAAGGCUGCCAAAAGCCACCCAGAUCCCUCAGGCGGAUAUGUCAAGAGCCAUGGCGAUGCUAAGGUUUGGAAUCACCAACUACAACGUCUCCGCCCACGCCUUCACAUUCAUGGAGGAAAUGUUUGAGAACAUCUAUAGGGAAUAUUCAUAUGUCUAUUCUCUAACAUCAGAAACCAGGAAGGCAAUGAUGGGCGUGAGCGAAACCUUAAAACACGUUGCCAAGCUCUGGAAGUUCACAACUAAGGACUUGAUAAAAUUGUUCACCAUAGCUACGUCCAUGUGUACAAAUAAUGAAAUUAGUACCAUGGUUGAAAGACACGCCCCCCUUUGGGACAUCGAUGCAGUGGAAACUUUCUCUCCCUGCUAUCUGAGUCUCAGAUUUGACUUUAGUGCCAAUAAGAUAAAUUUUGAGGUGGAGCAGACUAGUCAGCUCACGCCCAAGAGGACUUCUGGGGGUGUGUCUGGCUUUCUCACAGACCUUCACAACCAUCAUCUGGACCUGGUGGCAACGCUGCCUUUUGUAAAGUGUUUGUCUCAUGUUAUCAACAACACUGAUGUGAUACUGCCACUGGAAAAAAUAACAUAUAUCAUCAGCAAGGAAGCUGUACCGGGGGUGACAGUGUAUGAUGUAGCUGAGACCUUUCUAGAGAGUAAGUUGGUGAUAUCUGUGUUCACGGACGAAUGUCAGCCAGCCCUGCAAGACACGGAUGUGCACAGAACUGUUCCAGUAAUUUAUAAUAUCAGUGAUAGCAGAUGUCAAUUUUGUGGUUCGAUCAUCAUGAGUUAUGAUGAAUCACAGGGAUUUCUGGCAGCUAUGUAUGUGUCAGACAAAACCAUCCAGACAAAUUUGUUUCUCCCAGAAUCACCCUUUUUUGAUAAUCACAAUACCCACGUGCACUAUCUUUGGCUCAUGAGCAAUGGAUCUGUUGUGGAACUUAGAGGAAAAUACAGGAGGCAAAUUCA